ensembl:lncRNA
UCCUCCCAGCCAGCUCAGAUCCCCCUCCCCCUCCCCCUCCCCCUGCCUCUCCUCCACCCUCUCCCCACCUACUGCCCCCUUCCCAACCAGCCUUUCCCCAAGGCCCGACAGCGAAACCUUCACCAGCACAGUGGCCCUGGGGUGCCCACCAGCCUCCCCUGUCGCUAACCUCCAGAGCCCCUGUGCACCCCGACCCACUGCGGGGGCAGCGUAACGGCGGCGAGGCUUUUCUCCGGUCUUCUAUAACUAAGGUGGGGGAAGGAGAGGGAGACAGCAGCUUUCCCUGGCCUAGCCCUUUAAAAGAAAAAAGAGACAAACAGCCACACCGCCCCCGCAGCGCCUCUCACUGGACGACUUUUCUACCCUUCUACCCGGACCCUUCCAAAGCCCACCUCUGGCUGCACCGGAAGCCGCAACGGCGACAGGAGCUGUGCGGCGCACCCCCACCCCCAGCCCGGGAUACUUCCCACCUCCACGAUCGCGCGAGAGUUGCGCUGUAGCAAGCAGCAGUUAUCGCGAGACCCAUCACCAUGGCAGCGGCUGCAGCAGAAGCCGCUGAGCGCUGGAGUCCAAGUCUGGUGGGGGCCGGUGAGGUGUGGGGGCUGAGGGCUGCGGGCGGCAGAAGUAGGAGCUGGGAGCCGAGGAAUAAGGAUGGAACCGUAGAGACUGAGUCUAGGUGCAUCAGCCACAGAGCUACACCAUUGUUGCUACUCACUAUUACUGAAACUAAGUGACAACAAAGCCUGAAUUAAGAGAUCCUUUUCCAUAAGGAAGAGGAGGGGGAGUGAUGAAUUUAAAAGACUAAAGGAAAAAGCUGAACUUGAAAGACCAUGAGUUGAAGAGGGUUGAAGGCUAAAGUUCAGAGGUGUGGUCUAAGAAAGUGUAUCUAGAUGAAUAUGGAUUUUAGUGUCCUAAGGAAAAGUGAAGGGCUUUGCACCUGUGUGUCUCACUUCCUACCUACCAAUCUCUGAUUCCACCACACUCGAUUUUUUGCACCUGAUGGACAUAUGCAAAGCUGCCUUGGAACAGUCACAGCUGUGAUAAAAGCUGCACUAGAAGGACACUAGAAAUACUAAGAACAGAAGGUUCUUUAAGUGCCCUCCCUCCUCAUUUCAGCAGUACAAGAGAACACGUGGCUCUUAAACGCCUGAGCCAAAAUUGCCACUCUUCUGAAUUUCCUGCCUUUUUUCUUGUUUCCUUCCAAGGAGAGCUAGGUUGGUAGAUACCACACUGUGUGUACUCCAUGUCCACAUCAAGCCCUGGUUUGUGUCCUUACCAGACCCUUCCUCUUAUCCCAGUCUGUUUUCUCACGUUUAUUUGAAGAAUAACAUGUCUUAGAAUAUAAAGUCAAGAAGACCCUAAUUGAAGAUGGUGAAGGAUGAGAUGGAUUAAAAAAAAAAAAGGAACCUAUGUAUAACAAAAAGAAUUAAUCCUUUCCUAGCUUCUUGUUAUUCCCUUUGCCUUGCUAAGCUCUGUUUUUAAAGGCAAAAGACUCUUCCAGCAUUAUUCCAUGUUAAUAACACACUGCUAGAGUGGGCCCUGUGAUACCUUCAUGUGAUUGCCCUCCCCACUCCUUUCCCUAGAAAUUUCUAGCAACACUCCACGAGAUUAUACCCCCACAAGACCACCAAAAAUAUGCUUUACAACUCCUUCCCUAGUACUUCAGCCACACCAACAUGCCUUGUGGGAGUCCAUUAUAGAGAUGGAAACUGCUGAUGGAUGUUCCUGCCUAUGACUAAAGAGCCUCUCCAGGUUGUAUCCCAAGUGUGACAGAAAGAUGGGAAUGGUGACAGCCUAAUAUGAUUAGGAGCAAACACCCCGAACUGAUGAAUUUGACUGGAAAAUCUCCCAGUUCUUCUCUCCUUCACCCCUCAGGAGUCUGGGGAAGAAAGUGUCUAUGUAGCUUCAAAGAGGGCUGCGCAUAGAACUAGCAGGAGGAGAGAAAGGAGAAGUGCUGCCUACUACCAUGCCCCAACUUCACAGCCACUUGGUAAAGGGUAGAGGAGGAGCUCUUCCAGAGCUGAAGGAGGCCCAGAUGCCUGACUUAGAGUCUUUUUCUUGUCUCUCUGGCAACUAGAGUCUAGUAAAAAGUGAAAGUGUAGCCACCAGCUUCCAUUCUAUCCCUGACCCCAGGCCUGGGCCUGAGCCCAGGCGUGUGCCAGGAGGAGGGGUGUUGGCCUUACUGACAAAAUCCACUUGGAAUUUGUCAAGGUUGUGGUUUGGGGCUUAAGUUUGGCACAGAGGGUGUCUGAUGAAAGAACAGGGAAAGCUAGAAAAGAAAGGGAGCCAAAGGACUACAGAGGACAGAAACAGGACAAAGCUGAACUGUUCUUGCUACAACUUCAUUGGAGAGUCUCCUUCCCCUUCCUGAAUGUGAAAAAUUUGUACUCGGGGUGUUCUUUCUCAUUAUUCUCUUUCAUAUCUUUUGGCAAUUCUAGCUGCAUCUCUUCUCCUUUGCCCCCUCUCCCAUAUGCAUAUAAGGUUCAGUAAGGGUCUGAAUUAAGAAUGGGAUAUCUCCUGACACUACCACAUUUUCAAACCCAGAAUUCUCAGUGAUCAAGUGGAGAUUUGUGAUGUAAAAUGUUGCUGUAAAAUACUGCCCUAACCCAAGACAAAUAUCCUUGCUACCUUGUUGCUACUCUCAUUUCAUCUAAUUUGAGGAUAAUUUUGGUAGCAGAUAAAUCUGUUGUCCAGAGAAGUAGCACUAUUUCUACAUCCAUGGCUAAGGUCAUGACCUGUUAAGUCAGAUCUUGAAGUCUCCCAUGUACACAAUCAUCUGUAAAGUUUUAAAUUGUCAUGUAUACACGUGUGCAUACAUAUAUAUCCCAUAUAGAUAUAUCCCUUUUAUCAUUGAAUCUUGGAAAGAUAAGUUUAUUUUCAAAGAUACUGAGUUAAGGCCAGGGAUUUAGCUCAGUGGUUCCAGUGCCUGCCUCACAAGCACAAGGUCCCAAGUUCAAUCCCCAGUACCAAAAAAAAAAGAUACUGAGUUAGGAAUAGAGACAAGAAAUUCUGUUUUCUCAGGUUAUCUUUUAAAAGAUAAAGAAAUUUGUGUACUAAAAUUAGUAAAGUUAUUUUACUAAGGUAAGGAAGGACAAAAUACGG